rnacentral:lncRNA from 1 species
CCUUGAGAAGCAGUCCAGCCCACAAUCAUUGCUCCAUGGCUCAGCCCACAAUCUUAGUGAGCAUUCCACUUGUUGACCUAGCUCUCUGUCUCUAUAUAAGGUAACACUCAACUUUUCACACUCAUCUUUUUAAUCAACCUAACUUGUCCCCACUUUUCAAAAUGUUUCGAAUCGCCACGGUCUUUCUUCGCCACUCCCGCACGGCUUCUCGCUCCCCACGCUUUCCACCCGCCAUCUCCACUUCCUUCACUUCCCAUUUCGCCCCACCAUUUCCCCGACUUCCCCUCCGCAACUCUCCCUUUCCACCCCUUUCACCGCGCUCAACUUCCUUCCCUUCCCAUUUCACCCAACCCUUUCCCCGAUUUCCCCUCCGCAUCUCUCCCUUUCCACCCCUUUCACCGCGCUCCACUUCCUUCCCUUCCCAUUUCACCCCACCCUUUCCCCGACUUCCCCUCCGCAACUCUCCCUUUCCACCCCUUUCACCGCGCUCAACUUCCUUCCCUUCCCAUUUCACCCCACCAUUUCCCCGAUUUCCCUUCCGUAGCUCUCCCUCUCCACCCCUUUCACCGCACUCCACUUCCUUUCUUUCCCAUUUCACCCCACCCUUUCUCCGACUACCCCUCCGCAGCUCUCCCUUUUCACCCCUUUCACCGCGCUCCACUUCCUUUCCUUCCCAUUUCACCCCACCCUUUCCCCGACUUCUCCUCCGCAACUCUCCUUUUCCACCCCUUUCACCGUGCUCCACUUCCUUCCCUUCUCAUUUCACUCCACCCUUUCCCCGACUUCCCCUCCGCAACUCUUCAUUUCCACCCCUUUCACUAUGCUCAACUUCUAUCCCUUCCCAUUUUACCCCGCCAUUUCCCCGAUUUUCCCUCCGCAGCUCUCCCUUUCCACCCCUUUCACCGCGCUCCACUUCCUUCCAUUCCCAUUUAACCCCACCCUUUCCCGGACUUCUCCUCCGCAACUCUCCUUUUCCACCCCUUUCACCGCGCUCCACUUCCUUCCAUUCCCAUUUAACCCCACCCUUUCCCGGACUUCUCCUCCGCAACUCUCCUUUUCCACCCCUUUCACCGCGCUCCACUUCCUUCCAUUCCCAUUUAACCCCACCCUUUCCCGGACUUCUCCUCCGCAACUCUCCUUUUCCACCCCUUUCACCGCGCUCCACUUCCUUCCAUUCCCAUUUAACCCCACCCUUUCCCGGACUUCUCCUCCGCAACUCUCCUUUUCCACCCCUUUCACCGCGCUCCACUUCCUUCCCUUCUCAUUUCACCCCACCCUUUCUCCGACUACCCUUCCGCAGCUCUCCCUUUCCACCCCUUUCACUGCGCUUUCACCGCGCUCCACUUCCUUCCCUUCUCAUUUCACCCCACCCUUUCCCCGACUUCCCCUCCGCAACUCUUCCUUUCCACCCCUUUCACUGUGCUCAACUUCCUUCCCUUCCCAUUUCACCCCGCCAUUUCCCCGAUUUCCCCUCCGCAGCUCUCCCUUUCCACCCCUUUCACCGCGCUCCACUUCCUUCCCUUCCCAUUUCACCCCACCCUUUCCCCGACUUCCCCUCCGCAACUCUCCCUUUCCACCCCUUUCACCGCGCUCAACUUCCUUCCCUUCCCAUUUCACCCCACCAUUUCCCCGAUUUCCCCUCCGCAACUCUCCCUUUCCACCCCUCUCACCGCGCUCCACUUCCUUCCCUUCCCAUUUCACCCCACCCUUUCCCCGACUUCCCCUCCGCAACUCUCCCUUUCCACCCAUUUCACCGCGCUCAACUUCCUUCCCUUCCCAUUUCACCCCACCCUUUCCCCGACUUCCCCUCCGCACCUCUCCCUUUCCACCCCUUUCACCGCGCUCCACUUCCUUCCCUUUCCGUUUCACCCCACCCUUUCACCUCUUCUUCAUUUUUUUUUUUGAAUUUGAGUUGUUCUUGUUUUAUUUUCCUUUGUGUCUAUAUGAUUCUUUUGCUCCCCAAUCUGCUCCUAUGAUGAUCCGCGAUCCGCAAAGCUACUCCUAUGACCCUACUCCUAUGAUCCCCGAUCCACCAAGAAGCCCAAUGGGCCAUCAUUUGAUGGCCCAGCCCACAAUCUUGAUGAGUCCGUGAGAAGCAGCCUAGCCCACAAUCAAUUCUCCAUGGCCCAACCCACAAUCUGGCGAGUUUGAUGCGUCCUUGAGAAGCAGCCCAGCUCACAAUCAUUGCUUCAUGGCCCAGCCCACAAUCUAGCGAGUUUGAUGCGUCCUUGAGAAGCAGCCCAGCCCACAUUCAUUGCUCCAUGGCUCAGCCCACAAUCCUAGUGAGCAUCUCACUUGUUGAACUAGCUCUCUGCCUCUAUAUAAGGUAACACUCAACUUUUCACACUCAUCUUUUUAAUCAAAAGACAACGAAAACCUAACUUGUCCCCACUUUUCAAAAUGUUUCGAAUCGCCACGGUGUUUCUUCGCCACUCCCGCACGGCUUCUCGCUCCCCA